rnacentral:lncRNA from 1 species
CAUUCCGACGCCGGCCACCCCAGAGCAAGUCUGGGGGAAAAAAAGAGAGAGACGGGGUUUUCCUGUGAGCAAAUAUAUCUACCUGGAUCGAAUUCAGGGAUCCGAGCUUGGUAUUCAGCUCCGACUCUCAUCCCAACAUCUGCAAAGCAAUGCCAAGAUAUAUGCAGUUCAGUCCUGUGGCAAACACCAAAUACAAUUCAGCAGCUCCAGACCAGUCCUCUGGGCAGGCAGACAAUAGGCACAAACCAGCAGCUACAGUCCAGUCCUUUCAGCAAGGAGACACUGGGCAUGAACCAGCAGAUGUAGUUUAUCUUGAAGAAACCACCAGGCUCACCAAAUGUCCUACAGCAAUGC